UACGUAGGGGGCAAGCGUUGUCCGGAAUCAUUGGGCGUAAAGAGCGUGUAGGCGGUCCGGUCAGUCGGUUGUGAAAGUCAAGGGCUCAACCCUUGAAUGCCGGCCGAUACUGCCGGGCUAGAGUCCGGAAGAGGUGAGUGGAAUUCCUGGUGUAGCGGUGAAAUGCGCAGAUAUCAGGAGGAACACCCGUGGCGAAAGCGGCUCUCUGGGACGGUACUGACGCUGAGACGCGAAAGCGUGGGGGAGCGAACAGG
rnacentral:rRNA from 1 species